rnacentral:tRNA from 1 species
GCCUCAAUGUCCUAGUUGGUUAAGGUGUCUGCAUAGGCAGCAGAAGGUCCCGGGUUCGAAUCCUGGUUGGGGAA